AGUGAACGCUGGCGGUAGGCCUAACACAUGCAAGUCGAACGGCAGCACAGUAAGAGCUUGCUCUUACGGGUGGCGAGUGGCGGACGGGAGAGGAAUACAUCGGAAUCUACUUUUUCGUGGGGGAUAACGUAGGGAAACUUACGCUAAUACCGCAUACGACCUACGGGUGAAAGCAGGGGAUCUUCGGACCUUGCGCGAUUGAAUGAGCCGAUGUCGGAUUAGCUAGUUGGCGGGGUAAAGGCCCACCAAGGCGACGAUCCGUAGCUGGUCUGAGAGGAUGAUCAGCCACACUGGAGCUUAGACACGGUCCAGACUCCUACGGGAGGCAGCAGUGGGGAAUAUUGGACAAUGGGCGCGAGCCUGAUCCAGCCAUACCGCGUGUGUGACGAAGGCCUUCGGGUUGUAAAGCCCUUUUGUUGGGAAAGAAAAGCAGCAGGUUAAUACCCCGCUGUUCUGACGGUACCCAAAGAAUAAGCACCGGCUAACUUCGUG
rnacentral:rRNA from 1 species